CGGAAGAUACGCCUAGAACCUGAAAGUCAAUGUACCAAAAUAUCUAAAGUUCAACAAGUCUAAACGAGAAGGGAUGCAACCCCAAUCUAAUGAACUAAUCAACUAACUAAAACAUAGUCUAAGUCCAGAAAUGGUGGACAUAGGCGAAAGAGAGCCCAUGGCAUCCCAGAAGAAUUGGCUCACCGUUGAAUUCGAACGAUCACUUAUCUCCUAAGUGAGGUCUGUCAGUAGCCGCUUGAAGAUGCCCUGUACUCAACAAAAUAAGAACAAC
rnacentral:lncRNA from 1 species